UACGGAGGGUGCAAGCGUUAUCCGGAUUCACUGGGUUUAAAGGGUGCGUAGGCGGGGAUAUAAGUCAGUGGGGAAAGCUCCGAGCUUAACUUGGAAACUGCCAUUGAUACUGUAUAUCUUGAAUGUCGUAGAGGUUAGCGGAAUGUUGCAUGUAGCGGUGAAAUGCUUAGAUAUGUUACAGAACACCAAUUGCGAAGGCAGCUAACUAUGCGAUGAUUGACGCUGAGGCACGAAAGCGUGGGGAGCAAACAGG
rnacentral:rRNA from 1 species